GGGGAUUUAGCUCAGUGGUAGAGCGCUUGCCUAGCAAGCGUGUGGCCCUGGGUUCGGUCCCCAGCUCCU
rnacentral:tRNA from 1 species